rnacentral:lncRNA from 1 species
GUUUUUUUGAAAAAUUUUGGACGCUCUCUCUCUCGUCUCUCUCAAUUGGCGAAAACCAGGCCAGCGAUCUUGGUGCUCCGGCCACGGCCAGCAGUGAGAGCGGUCGGAAAAGGAUCGGCCAGGGCCGACGAUCAAGUCUGGGCUAAAGCCCAGCCACAUCAGCCGCUCACGACGCCGCUAAAAGCUCAGAAAGGUCUGUGGAUUUCGAGUUUUCCGACGU